rnacentral:misc_RNA from 1 species
UCCGAGUUGACCCCGGCAGUCUCUCACGAGUCCCCGCCAUUACGCGCUGGCAACAUAGGACAAGGGUUGCGCUCGUUGCGGGACUUAACCCAACAUCUCACGACACGAGCUGACGACAGCCAUGCACCACCAAUCGCCGGCCCCGAAGGACACUACAUCUCUGUAGCUUUUCCGGCGUAGUUCAAUCCAGGUGAGGUUCUUCGCGUUGCAUCGAAUUAAGCAACAUGCUCCGCUGCUUGUGCGGGUCCCCGUCAAUUCCUUUGAGUUUUAGCCUUGCGGCCGUACUCCCCAGGCGGGAUACUUAAUGCGUUAGCGACGGCGCGGAAGAAGUUGGUUAUCUCCCACACCUAGUAUCCACCGUUUACGGCGUGGACUAC